rnacentral:rRNA from 1 species
AUGCAUUCGUCACAUAUAGAUAGCUUAUUUGCAUUGUGCAAAAAAAAUUGUAGUCUCAAUGAUGAUGCAUACAUGUCAACGAUGGGUGUUGGCUCCAACAAUUCGCAUUGGUCUCAAACCAAUGACAUGCAUUUUCAAGACCAUGAGUUCGAGGUGGACGAGGAGGGUGAGGGCAUUGUCGACGCACCGAAAGGAAGAGCGGGCAAUUACACCAACACCGAUGACAUCUUACUAUGCAAUACUUGGUUGCAAGUGUCGAGGAAUCCAUCCGUUGGAGGUGAUCAAAGUAGAGAUGCUUAUUGGAACCGGAUGAAGGAACACUUUGAUGAUCGCAACAUGAGUGGAAUUGACCGCUCCAACCGAUCACUUAGGUCCCGGUGGUCGACAAUCAACUCAGAUUGUCAAAGGUGGGCGGCUUGUCAAAAGGCGGUUGACAAGUUGAACCCAAGUGGCACAAAUGAGGACGAUAGAUACAACUUUACGCAAAACUUGUUCAAAAAAGAGGAGAGGAAAACCAAGAAGGGGAAGAUCAAGAAAGGAAGAGUCUUUACUUUGCCUCAUUGCUAUGAUGUGUUGAAGGAUGAUGAGAAAUGGAAGAAGCGUGAAGAUUUGGAUGAUUUGCAUUUGAGCGACAAACGGAAGCGAACAAUUAAGUUGGAUGAUGAUGAUGAUGAGGAUGAUGCAUCAAGUGAUGACGGCAAGAGAAGCCCCACACCCAACUCGGUUUCAUACUCGAAGCCAAAGCGGCCGGAUGGGUGCAAGAAAGACAAAACCGAAAAGAAGAAGAGGAAAGGAGAUAAUGAGCUCAAAAAUGCUAUGGAAGCUAUUGUGAAGGCAAGAAAAGAAGCCAACGAGGUGAGGAAAAUGGCAAGGACCCAAGAUGCCGUGGCCGAGGAGAGAAGGUUGGCGGCCGAGGAGAGGAGGGUGGCGGCCGAGGAGAGGAAGGUGGCUUUGGAGGAGAGGAGGGUGGCGGCCGAGGAGAGGAAGGUGGCUUUGAAGGAGAGAAAGGUGAGCAAUGAGGAGCGAACUAGAUUGUUGGAAUGGGAGAAGCACUUGUUCUUCUUGGACACAACUAACCUCAAUGCGGCGCAAAAGGAGUAUGUCAAUCUUGCCCAACAAGAAGUCUUGAUCCAAAAAAGAGCCAUGGUUCGUGCAAUGGGUGGCGGUGGCAUCGGCACCAUGGGUGGCGGUGGCCUCGGCGCCAUGGGUGGCAUGGGUGGCUUGGGUGGCGGUGGCUUCGGCGCCAUGGGUGGCAUGGGUGGCUUGGGUGGCUUUGGAGCACCCCCGACGCUAUGGCCACGAUGGGAGGCAUGA